CCUACGGGAUGCAGCAGUGGGGAAUAUUGCGCAAUGGGCGAAAGCCUGACGCAGCGACGCCGCGUGAGGGAUGAAGGUCUUCGGAUCGUAAACCUCUGUCAGCAGGGAAGAACGGUCACUGUGCUAAUCAGCAGUGAAUUGACGGUACCUGCCAAGGAAGCACCGGCUAACUCCGUGCCAGCAGCCGCGGUAAUCCGGAGGGUGCGAGCGUUAACCGGAACUUCUGGGAUUACAACGCUCGUAGGCGGGAUGUCAAGUAAAGGGUGAAAUCCCCUGGCUCAACGUGGGAACUGCCUUUGAAACUGGCAAACUGGAGUGUGUUAGAGGAUAGUGGAAGUCCAGGUGUAGGAGUGAAAUCCGUAGAUAUCUGGAGGAACAUCAGUGGCGAAGGCGACUAUCUGGCACAUAACUGACGCUGAGGAGCGAAAGCGUGGGUAGCAAACAGGAUUAGAUACCCGAGUAGUC
rnacentral:rRNA from 1 species